GGUGCCCGUACCGCAAACCGACACAGGUAGGUAGGAAGAAGAUUCUAAGGCCAACGGGAGAAGGGUUGUUAAGGAACUCGGCAAAUUGACCCCGUAACUUCGGGAGAAGGGGUGCUGCAGCAAUGCAGCCGCAGAGAAUCGGCCCAAGCAACUGUUUACCAAAAACACAGGUUUGUGCUAAAUCGAAAGAUGACGUAUACGAGCUGACGCCUGCCCGGUGCUGGAAGGUUAAGAGGAGAUGUGCAAGCAUUGAAUCGAAGCCCCAGUGAACGGCGGCCGUAACUAUAACGGUCCUAAGGUAGCGAAAUUCCUUGUCAGGUAAGUUCUGACCCGCACGAAUGGCGUAACGAUUUGGGCACUGUCUCAACAGCCCGCCCGGCGAAAUUGUAGUACCGGUGAAGAUGCCGGUUACCCGCGACAAGACGGAAAGACCCCAUGGAGCUUUACUGUAGCCUAAUAUUGGGUUUCGAUGUUGCAUGCACAGGAUAGAUGGGACACAGGGAAGCAGGUGCUUUGGCGCUUGUGGAGUGGCCGUUGGGAUACCAUCCUUGCGAUAUUGGAAUUCUAACCUGCGCCUUUGAAUCAAGGCGGGGGACAUUGUUAGGUGGGCAGUUUGACUGGGGCGGUCGCCUCCUAAAGAGUAACGGAGGCGUUCAAAGGUUCGCUCAGCUUGAACGGAAAUCAAGCAAAAGAGUGCAAACGCAGAAGCGAGCCUAACUGCGAGACUGACGGGUCGAGCAGUAACGAAAGUUGGAGUUAGUGAUCCGGUGGUAUGUGAGUGGAAAUGCCAUCGCUCAACGGAUAAAAGUUACCCUGGGGAUAACAGGCUGAUCUCCCCCAAGAGUCCACAUCGACGGGGAGGUUUGGCACCUCGAUGUCGGCUCAUCGCAUCCUGGGGCUGUAUUCGGUCCCAAGGGUUUGGCUGUUCGCCAAUUAAAGCGGUACGCGAGCUGGGUUCAGAACGUCGUGAGACAGUUCGGUCCCUAUCUGUCGUGGGCGCAGGAUAUUUGAUGGGAGCUGUUCCUAGUACGAGAGGACCGGAGCGGACGUACCUCUGGCGCACCAGUUGUUCUGCCAAGAGCAUAGCUGGGCAACUAUGUACGGAUCGGAUAAACGCUGAAAGCAUCUAAGCGUGAAGCCGACCCAAAGAUAAGAUAUCCCAUUGUUUCAAACAAGUAAGACCCCUUGAAGACUACAAGGUUGAUAGGCACGAUGUGUAAGUGGAGUGAUCCAUUCAGCAAGCGUGUACUAAUAGGUCGAGGGCUUGACCAC
rnacentral:rRNA from 1 species